GUAAUACAUCGGAACGUGUCCUGUAGUGGGGGAUAGCCCGGCGAAAGCCGGAUUAAUACCGCAUACGCUCUACGGAGGAAAGGGGGGGAUCUUAGGACCUCCCGCUACAGGGGCGGCCGAUGGCAGAUUAGCUAGUUGGUGGGGUAAAGGCCUACCAAGGCGACGAUCUGUAGCUGGUCUGAGAGGACGACCAGCCACACUGGGACUGAGACACGGCCCAGACUCCUACGGGAGGCAGCAGUGGGGAAUUUUGGACAAUGGGGGCAACCCUGAUCCAGCAAUGCCGCGUGUGUGAAGAAGGCCUUCGGGUUGUAAAGCACUUUUGUCCGGAAAGAAAACGCCGUGGUUAAUACCCGUGGCGGAUGACGGUACCGGAAGAAUAAGCACCGGCUAACUACGUGCCAGCAGCCGCGGUAAUACGUAGGGUGCAAGCGUUAAUCG
rnacentral:rRNA from 1 species